GACGAACGCUGGCGGCGCUGCUUAACACAUGCAAGUCGAACGGAAAGGCCCUGCUUUUGUGGGGUGCUCGAGUGGCGAACGGGUGAGUAACACGUGAGUAACCUGCCCUUGACUUUGGGAUAACUUCAGGAAACUGGGGCUAAUACCGGAUAGGAGCUCCUGCUGCAUGGUGGGGGUUGGAAAGUUUCGGCGGUUGGGGAUGGACUCGCGGCUUAUCAGCUUGUUGGUGGGGUAGUGGCUUACCAAGGCUUUGACGGGUAGCCGGCCUGAGAGGGUGACCGGCCACAUUGGGACUGAGAUACGGCCCAGACUCCUACGGGAGGCAGCAGUGGGGAAUAUUGCACAAUGGGCGGAAGCCUGAUGCAGCAACGCCGCGUGCGGGAUGACGGCCUUCGGGUUGUAAACCGCUUUCGCCUGUGACGAAGCGUGAGUGACGGUAAUGGGUAAAGAAGCACCGGCUAACUACGUGCCAGCAGCCGCGGUGAUACGUAGGGUGCGAGCGUUGUCCGGAUUUAUUGGGCGUAAAGGGCUCGUAGGUGGUUGAUCGCGUCGGAAGUGUAAUCUUGGGGCUUAACCCUGAGCGUGCUUUCGAUACGGGUUGACUUGAGGAAGGUAGGGGAGAAUGGAAUUCCUGGUGGAGCGGUGGAAUGCGCAGAUAUCAGGAGGAACACCAGUGGCGAAGGCGGUUCUCUGGGCCUUUCCUGACGCUGAGGAGCGAAAGCGUGGGGAGCGAACAGGCUUAGAUACCCUGGUAGUCCACGCUGUAAACGGUGGGUACUAGGUGUGGGGUCCAUUCCACGGGUUCCGUGCCGUAGCUAACGCUUUAAGUACCCCGCCUGGGGAGUACGGCCGCAAGGCUAAAACUCAAAGGAAUUGACGGGGCCCCGCACAAGCGGCGGAGCAUGCGGAUUAAUUCGAUGCAACGCGUAGAACCUUACCUGGGUUUGACAUGGAUCGGGAGUGCUCAGAGAUGGGUGUGCCUCCUUUGGGGUCGGUUCACAGGUGGUGCAUGGCUGUCGUCAGCUCGUGUCGUGAGAUGUUGGGUUAAGUCCCGCAACGAACGCAACCCUUGUUCACUGUUGCCAGCACGUUAUGGUGGGGACUCAGUGGAGACCGCCGGGGUCAACUCGGAGGAAGGUGGGGAUGACGUCAAGUCAUCAUGCCCCUUAUGUCCAGGGCUUCACGCAUGCUACAAUGGCUGGUACAGAGAGUGGCGAGCCUGUGAGGGUGAGCGAAUCUCGGAAAGCCGGUCUCAGUUCGGAUUGGGGUCUGCAACUCGACCUCAUGAAGUCGGAGUCGCUAGUAAUCGCAGAUCAGCAACGCCGCGGUGAAUACGUUCCCGGGGCU
rnacentral:rRNA from 1 species